rnacentral:lncRNA from 1 species
GAGUCUUUAGCGACACUGACCACAUCCUACCUCGCCAACCCCCUUCUUCUACUUCAACCUAACCCCAUCUGCUCAACUACAACGUUUCUCAAUUUCCUGCAAAACCCCAUCACCAAUCGCCAAUUUCUCCUCUCAAUUGCUACAAAAACAUCGCAUCAUAGCCAAUGGCGCACGUCGCGAAAAUGGCGCACAAUCUCGCCUCGCCCNAAAUUUAGUAUAGUGAGGAGGCGAUGGAGCAUGUAUAUUUAUAAUUAUAAUAAUAGUAGUGAAAUGUAUAUCUAGAUUGUGUUGUUGGAAGAAUGAGAGGCCCAAUGAGCCCAUUUGGAGAUGUAUAACAAAUUAACAGCUCAAGCAGCCAUAAAAUAAUACUCCUACAUUAGACCUCACCAACCAAACCAUUCUAUUUCUAAUUUUCUAGUGGUUGGUAACUCUGGUUGGUGGCUGCUCUCUCUCCCUCACACACACACACACACACACACAAAGUAGUAGGAGUAGGAGUAUGUACCAACAAGGCUCAAACUAUGGCCUUCAAGAAUACCACUAUUUAACCAACUUAGAAAGCUAAUUUUAAUUUUAUUUUAUAUGGGUGUUACCUUUAAAAAUGUUCCUACCUACUGUUUGUGACAUAAGUUUUUUUUUUGACAAUUGCAUCAAAAUAUAUGAAUUUUUAUAAUUUUUUUUUAUUUUGCACAUAAACUUAAAUUUUUCUGAUUUUACAUACGAUGUAUAUUUUUGGUGAAUGAUUCGUUAAUAUAUUUUUGUAUUAUUGUAGUUGGAUUUACCUAAUGUCCAACUACAUCCUUCAGGAAGAUUUCCGUUUGAACCACGUAGACAGUUUCGAAUUCUACCUCAAUAUUCAUUCGUCGGAAAUGCUCAUUGUGUGCAAAAUUAGAAAGAAAUGAAAGUUCGUAUGUUCAAAAAACACGUGAAAAUUCAUAUACCUUGACAUUAUUACUCCCUUUUAUUUAGAGCUCUUAGAUAUAGCUCUAGUCAUUUACCAGCCGCAGUGACAUAAAUUUUGAUAGAGUUAACCCUUUAACUUAUAACAUAAUGAUUAUCAUGGUGAAUAUUACAACCCAAAUGAAGGUAAUAGAAAAACUAUUCACCAUGACAUAGACAUAUCUAUCAAAAUAAAUUGAUUUUAUAUGUCUCUACUAUCCACAUAUUGCUUUUAAAAUUUUAUGUUAUAGCAAUACUUCACAUGUCUACUACUGAAAUAACAUUAUUUUAUACUGCGUGAUGCAUGUUUGUCGAAUAAAAUACUACUCCUUUUAAUUCAUUAUUCAUUAUUGAAUAAACUCAAGUAUAACAACACUCAUAAAAUCAUAGAAAUGCAAUGCGAUGCUAAUCCCAAUAACAAAUAUUGUUGUCGCCCAUUUGCUUAAGUUGUCUAUUCAUAUUCAAGUGGUGAUCCAAAAUUUUAAAUUCGGACAUACGAUAAAUGAAGAUAUAUAUAAUAAUAAAGAGGUGAGAUACAGAUCACAAACACCACCUUUUUCACUGAUAAGUCGUUCUACGCUCGUAUUUGUAAUGAAAAAAAAAAUUAAAAAGUAAAAAAGAGCAUAGAACUAAAGGAUGAUUUUAAAUUUUUUAGGAAUCAAAAAAUAUUUAAAAUGUUACUAUUAAUUAUAAAAUAUUACUAUAUAAUAUUACAAAUAUUUUUUUGGGGGUACAACGCGCAUGCUUUGAUCAGCCGGUAUUCAUAUUCGAUAAAUGUUUUGAUUUUUUUUUAUUAAAAAAAUAGACAUCCUACAUUCCUACUCUACGGGAUUGUAAUGUUAAUAUAUUUUUGAUAAAGUCUGAGAUAUUUGAAGGAGUGGAAGGAAAUGUGAAUUUAUGUCGAAACAAAAGUAGAUUAAAGUUGGAAAAAUAAUUAAAAUAGUAGUGUUAGAGCAUCCACAACAGAUCUCUCAAAAUUGCACUCUUAAAAAUACUUCUAAAGUCUUCCCUAAAUUAUUUUUAACUCAUACUCCCUCCGUCCGCCAAAAAUGGAGCGCUUUAAUUGGGCACGAGAUUUAAUAAAAUUGGUAAUAAUUUUGAUGUAAUGGAGAAAAUGACUCAUCAUUUCAUGAGAUUUGUGGUUGAGAUUGAAUUUGGAGUGAGUUUUUUUGUAAAUAAAGAGUGUUUGUAAGGUUAAAAGAUUAAAGUGGAUGGUGAGACCAUUUCCUUAAAAGGAAAAUGGUACACUCUUUGCGGACGCCCGAUAUAGUAAUUGUGCCCCACUUUUGACGGACGGAGGAAGUAUUUUUACAAUUGCACACAGCAACUUCAUUAUCUAUUUUAUAAAUUUAGGAUUAGAUUUAAUGGGGUGUAAAUUUAAGAUUAAAUUUGAGGGGAUGUGAAUUUUUUUGUGGGCCCAACUUAAUAUAGGUGAUCUGUUGGAUGAUCAUUUUAUCUCACUUUUUAUUAUUUAGCUUAAAUUUAAAGUUAUAAUUACUUUUGAGAGAUCUGUGGGUGUGUUGAUCAAUCAAUAAAUGGGUUACCUAAAAUUAAAGAUUUGGUGUUCAAGUUUAUUAUGACACAGAUUUUAAAUUUCUUUAUUUAAUAUUAUUGUUAAUCUAUCUUUUUUUUAAAAAAGAAGAAGAAAUACAGCACGUUUGAAAGACAAAGGUGGUUGGUGAAGGCACCAGAGUCUUUAGCGACACGACCACAUUCUACCUCGCCAACCCCCUUCUACUUCAACCUAACCCCAUCUCCUCAACUACAACGUUUCUCAAUUUCCUGCAAAACCCCAUCACCAAUCACCAAUUUCUCCUCUCAAUUGCUCAAAAACAACCACAUCAUAGCCAAUGGCGCACGUCGCGAAAAUGGCGCACAAUCUCGCCUCGCCCAAAUUCACCACCCCUACAGCUAAAUC